rnacentral:rRNA from 1 species
ACCGUACUCCUACGGGAGGCAGCAGUGGGGAAUUUUGGACAAUGGGGGCAACCCUGAUCCAGCAAUGCCGCGUGAAUGAAGAAGGCCUUCGGGUUGUAAAGUUCUUUCGGUGAUGAGGAAGGCGGUUGUUUUAAUAGAACAAUCGAUUGACGUUAGUCACAGAAGAAGCACCGGCUAACUCCGUGCCAGCAGCCGCGGUAAUACGGAGGGUGCGAGCGUUAAUCGGAAUAACUGGGCGUAAAGGGCACGCAGGCGGUGACUUAAGUGAGAUGUGAAAGCCCCGGGCUUAACCUGGGAAUUGCAUUUCAUACUGGGUCGCUAGAGUACUUUAGGGAGGGGUAGAAUUCCACGUGUAGCGGUGAAAUGCGUAGAGAUGUGGAGGAAUACCGAAGGCGAAGGCAGCCCCUUGGGAAUGUACUGACGCUCAUGUGCGAAAUCGUGGGGAGCAAACAGGAUUAGAAACCCUAGUAGUCCUUGAC